rnacentral:rRNA from 1 species
UACGUAGGGGGCGAGCGUUGUCCGGAUUCAUUGGGCGUAAAGAGCUCGUAGGCGGCUUGGCAAGUCGGGUGUGAAAACUCCAGGCUCAACCUGGAGAUGCCACCCGAUACUGCUAUGGCUUGAGUUCGGUAGGGGACCACGGAAUUCCUGGUGUAGCGGUGAAAUGCGCAGAUAUCAGGAGGAACACCUAUGGCGAAGGCAGCUCUCUGGGACGGUACUGACGCUGAGACGCGAAAGCGUGGGGAGCGAACAGG